rnacentral:rRNA from 1 species
AGUAACGCGUGGGUAACCUGCCCCAUACAAUGGGAUAGCCACUGGAAACGGUGAUUAAUACCAUAUAAUGCUUUUGAGUCGCAUGACAUGAAAGCUAAAGAUUUAUCGGUAUGGGAUGGACCCGCGUCUGAUUAGCUAGUUGGUGAGGUAACGGCUCACCAAGGCGACGAUCAGUAGCCGACCUGAGAGGGUGAUCGGCCACACUGGAACUGAGACACGGUCCAGACUCC